rnacentral:rRNA from 1 species
UGAGGGAAAGGUGAAAAGAACCCCGGGAGGGGAGUGAAAUAGAACCUGAAACCCUGCACUUACAAGCUGUGGACGCACAUUUCUUGUGUGACCGCGUACUUUUUGUAGAACGGGCCAACGAGUUACGUUAAGUAGCAAGGUUAAGCACUUAAGGUGUGGAGCCGUAGCGAAAGCGAGUUUUAACUGAGCGUUCAGUUACUU